CUCGGCGUGGCCGCUCCUUGAGCGGCUCCCGGAGUAGCACAGCCAGAUCGCGGUUAGCCUUGGGAGGGGGCCCCGGGUUCCCCCGUGCGCAACAGCCGGAGGAUCCCGGGGCUCUCGAUGUCCCCAAGGCCGGCGGGGACUGCGGGAGCACUCACCAAUUUGGCUGGUAAACUACCCAAAAACAACACAGAAGAGGAAAUACAUGCUCCCAGACAGGGUGGACAAGGAGCCCUAAGAAAACUUUAGGACAGAGACACACAGAGGAAGACCAUGUGAAAAUACAGGGAAAAGAUAACCAUCUGCAAGCUGAGGAGAGAGGCCUGAGAAGAAACCAACCCUGCCAAUACUUCAGUCUGAGACUUCCAACCUCCAGAAUUGCAAGAAAAUAAAUUUCCACUGAAACCACCCAGUCUGUGGUACUUUGUUAUGACAGCCCUAGCAACUAAUACAAUAACUAAAAGAUUGUUUUGGAUAAAAAUUAUGGGAAACAUGGAAGUUUUUAUCCCUGGAAUUAUUGAUUAAAUGAAAAGCUAAACAUUUAGUGACUUCAGGCCUUUCUGCUAAAACCAGCAAGAAGAGAGUAGCAACUUGAAGAUCACAAUUCUUUGACCUUAUCCAUUCUACUUUAGGUGAAAGUUCCCAUGGUCACACCAUAGUUUGUAGAUAAAUGUUGUAUACAAGUCAUCUGCCUCAGAAUCACUUAAGAGAAGUUGUUUAAAGUGCAGAUUCCUCAGUGCCUCCUCCCCAAUGAUUCUGAUUCAGUAGGUCUAAGGUGGAACCUAAUAAUACGCAUUUUUACAAAGCCCCUGUGUGAUUCUUUUCGAAGUGAAUUGUUUACCACACUUUGAGGAACACUGCUUUAGACAUGAGUGUGUCAGGGUGGAGAAUAGUUGAAAGACUUCUCAUUUAAAGUCCUCUGUUUUCCUUAUAGAGUAGAUGGGUUUGUCUAUUUUCCUGCCCCGCAUCCCAUUGGCACACAUUGAUAUAUUCUUCAGUAUCUAAACCAAAGUAAAACUUUUUAUGAUAACUUUCCCCACCCAGUUGAUCAAUCUUAUUUUGAGUCACGAGGGUAUCUCAUAUGUGUUUUUAUUAUGGUACUCAUCACAUACUGUAACAUCUUGGUGUUCCUUAGGGUUUUCUUUUUAUCUUCCUCUUUCCUUACUCUUUACACAUUUCCUGGGCAAUAUUAUCCAUGCCAUGGCUUCAGCUAUCACCCAUAAAGCUGAUGACUUUCAAAUCUGUACCUCAAGCCCACAUCUCUCUCCUAGUCUCCAGAUCCAUAAUUCCAGUGGUCUAUUGCACGUCUCUACUUGAUUGUUUAAAGUACCCCAUGUCUCAAUGUCAAAAACUGAAUUUAUUUUCUUCCCGUGUCCCCAGUCCCUUCCCCAAACCUAUUCAUCCUCUUCUAUUCUAAGUGGCACCACCGUGUACUCAGUUGAAGCCACAAACUGAACAGGAAUUCUAUAGCCCUUCCCUUCUUCUUCCUUCAUUCAAUACUGUCAGAUCUUCUUCUGAGAUAUUUCUCAAAUCUCUAUUCUCCACUCCCCUACUGUUAUUGCACUGGACAAAAACUAGUUUAUUAUAGUAUAUGGUAGUUUAUGGUACAGCCAAGGCUAAAUGAAGAUAUUACUUGGGAAAAGGCAAAUAGUCAUACAUAUUAAUUCUUCAAAAAUCUUCUAUGUUUAUUUCAUUGUUAAAGAUGUUAAAGGGAUAAUUAGAGAGAGGGAAGUAGAGAGUAGUUAUGUUACCAGAUACUCAUCUUUCACAGCACAGAGUAAAUAUAUAAUGUCUAAUAAUUUUUAUGCCAAAAAUUAAAAAAUCAAGAAAUGGCAGAGCAAUAUGUUAAAAACAUCACCAAGAUACAACCAGCCAAAUCCAGAAUGUAGAAAUUUCUUGGCACAAGUGACCUGGAUUAUUAUUACAAAAAAAAUGACAUAGCAAAAUUGGAUAAGGGGACUGUUACUGAUUACUGGAAAUUUAAGAAACAUGCCAACAUAAUGCAAUAUGCCUAUUUUGUGUGGAUCUUAAGCAAACAAAAAGAUAUUUAGGGGAAAUUUGAACACAGAUUGAGUACCAUAUGCUAGUAAGUAAUUUUGAUAAAGGUAUUGGGAUUAUGUUAUUGAAACUUCCCUCAUCUGCUAGAGAUACAUACCAAAUAUUUAUGGGUGAAAAGAUCUGAUGUCAAAGAUUUGCUUUAAAAUACUCCAGGUCAAAUCAUAUACAAAAAUUAACUCAAAAUGAAUCAUAGACCUAAAAUGUAAAAACCUGAAACUAUAAAAAUGCUAAAAGGAAACAGGAAAAAAAUAUUCAAAAUCUUGGGUUUUGCAAAAAUUUCUUAGAAAUUAUGCCCAAAACACAAUACAUAACAAAUUGAUAAAUUGGACUUCAUCAAUAUUAAAAACUUCUACUAUUCAAAAGACACUGUUAGGAGAAUAAAGGGACAAACCAAAAACUGGGAAAAAAAUCUUUACAAACGAUAUAUUUGAUAAAGGAUUGUAUACACAAUAUAUUAAGAACUCCUAAAAUUCUGGGGUGCCUGGGUGGCUCAGUUGGUUAAGCGACUGCCUUCGGCUCAGGUCAUGAUCCUGGAGUCCCGGGAUCGAGUCCCACAUUGGGCUCCCUGCUCAGCAGGGA